rnacentral:rRNA from 1 species
UACGUAGGGUGCGAGCGUUUAAUCGGAAUUACUGGGCGUAAAGCGUGCGCAGGCGGUUUUGUAAGCCAGGUGUGAAAUCCCCGGGCUUAACCUGGGAAUGGCAUUUGGGACUGCAAGGCUUGAGUGCGGCAGAGGAGACUGGAAUUCCUGGUGUAGCAGUGAAAUGCGUAGAUAUCAGGAGGAACACCGAUGGCGAAGGCAGGUCUCUGGGCUGACACUGACGCUCAUGCACGAAAGCGUGGGGAGCAAACAGG